ensembl:lncRNA
CUCAGUGCCAUACAGCUUUCCGCACCAUCCAGUGCAUUUUGUGGGUUUAUGUUUGUGUUCAGGAAAUCGAUUCAGAAGGAGAAAGCACUUGGUUGGAUGCUGUGCUGGGGACAUCUUUCUGGAGGAACGGGCAGUGGGAGAAAAAACACCCAACAGCUCUGCGUUUAUAGGCAUGCUGCCUCAGCUGCCAAACUGUCCUUGUAUAUGCACAGAGCUAUAGGAGGGUCUGUAAGGGAAAUAAAGAUGUGGAAUUGGAGACUUCUCGAGUAGAAGUUACGGAGGGCUUUCCGAGUGCUCUGAUGGAUAGGGAUGGAAGUGCAUCAAUUCAAUCACAGUAUUGUAUAGUGCAUGAUAAAUAUUUGAUGAGUACAGCCCAUCAUUUAGUUAAUACACAGCACGGGGCAGAUUCUGCUCUUGGAUACAGUGCAUGUGUUUAUGACUGUGCCUACUGCAUGAGUCCAGUCCUGUGCAGGGGGACAGCGUUUGGUCCAAAUGCUGCAAGGUCUGCGUGUGAAACAUGGGAGCAUGGCAUAAGAAGACUGUAGGUUAUCAGCAUAGCAAUGUGUUACUGCAGCAACUGCUGAGACCCAGCAGCAUUUCUGGUUUGACCAUAAAAACACUUUGGCCUAAGGCUGGGUUUUGAUAAAUGCAAUGAAUUAGGCUAUUUUGUUUCUGGUGAUACAGGGUUAUGUGUGUUUCCAAACACAGCGCAGCCUCAGCUGUCCAAGUGAAAGGAGGACAGUGCUGUUGUGUAGGCUGAGCUGUGACACGCACAACUGGUUAAAGCAGCUCUGGGCUUCUAACAGAAUGUUCAUGAAUGGGAGUUAUUUGUGGAUUCCAGGAGUUUUUGCAGAUGUUUGCUCUGCACCAUGCAUGCAUUUCUGGUGGGAACAGAACUGGAGCUAGCAGAUUCUGAGCAAAAGGUCAGCGAGGAGCAGUGGACAGGAGCCCCCGGUGCUGGGGGGGACAGCAUCCUCUGAAGCAACUUUAUGGAGGAGCUAGUGAAACAGAAAGUUUUACAUCUUUUUUUUUAUUAUUAUUAUUUGAUUUCUAUUUUCCUGUUUAAUGCUGUGUGGGGAAGCCAGAGAGGCAAUGGGCAAGUAGGAGGAACCGUGUGAAAAUGUGUUCUUUACAGAGAGAGUGGUGAGGUGCUGGAACAGCUGCCCAGAGAGGCUGUGGAUGCCCCGUCCCUGGAGGUGUUCAGGACCAGGGAGUGGUGGAGUCACCCACCCUGGAGAUGUUCAAGAAACGUUUAGGUGUUGUACUGAGGGACAUGGAUUAGUGAGAAAUGUUGAUAGUAGGUGCACGGUUGGACUGGAUUAUCUUGGAGGUCUUUUCCAACCUUGGUGAUUCUAUGAUUCUGCCUGAGAUUCCUGUGCUUGCAGAUCUAAAUUUGAGUGGCUCUUUGUGUCCCUUCAUGUGCUUGCCCCUCCGGGAUGUUUUUGGGGCGAUGUCUGGUACAGAACUGCUGGGUUCUGUGAGUUAUGGGGUAAUCGUUCCCUGUCAGGUGCUGUGAGAAUGGAGCUUACUUGUCAGAACUCCAUCUGAAGGAUGGUAGUUUCACAGGAGACACUCAGAGGAUUGCUCGGCCUCUCGCUGGCCGCUCCGCUGACCUUGUGAGACUGGUGACUAACAGCAGGGCUGGAAAAAGGAUCUCAGAGGCAUUCUUCUGCACGAGUGUGAUGGUGUUUUUGCUCUGUGUGGCAUUACUGGCAACUUGGGGCUUUCCUAGAGGGUGGUGAGGGCUGCUGUGUGGUACGGCUCUCUAAGCAUUGCCUGAACCAUUCCCAAACCCAACCAGUUGGGAUCUGCACUGGGAGCGUCUCCAGUUGAGCCUUGCUGGCUUUACACAGAAUAAAAUCCCUCUGUCACUGUUGUAUUCAUGUAUGUGCCUCACUUAGUACUGCAGCU